AUGAAAAAAUUCAAAAAUAAAGCUAAAGAUAUGUUACCAAGAAAUGCCAGCCAUGUCGUGAACCUGCGACGGCUUCUUGUAUUAACCAACCGUAUUAAAAGGAAGCCGAUCCGCGAACGAUGGGAGCGAUGCAGAGUGAAGGCAUUGAGACCAAAUCGCGAAGAAGAUGAACGAAUUUGCAAUGAAGAAGAACGAUACGGAGCAGAUCUAUCACAAAUUAGAAUCGCGAUGGAGGCGUGA